rnacentral:rRNA from 1 species
GAUGAACGUUGGCGGCGUGCCUAAGGUAUGCAAGUCGAGGGAGAAACUUACUUCGGUAAGUGGAAACCGGCAAACGGCUGAGUAACGCGUAGGAAUUUUCCCCAAAGUCAAGGAUAGCCACUCGAAAGGGUGAUUAAUACUGGAUAAUCCUGUACCGCUUGGUACAAGGUAAAGGCUUCGGUCGCUUUGGGAUGAGCCUGCGUCCUAUCAGGUUGUUGGUGAGGUAAAAGCUCACCAAGCCUAUGACGGGUAGCUGGUCUGAGAGGAUGUCCAGCCAGAAUGGAACUGCGACACGGUCCAU